GACGAACGCUGGCGGCGUGCCUAAUACAUGCAAGUAGGACGCAGUUGCGAACGUGUGAGUAACGCGUAGGUAACUACCUAUUAGAGGGGGAUAACUAUUGGAAACGAUAGCUAAUACCGCCUACUAGUAGAUGGACCUGCGUUGUGUUUGCUAGUAGGUCGGGUAAUGGCCUACCUAGGCAACGAUACAUAGCCGGCCUUGAAGGGGUGUCCGCCACACUGGGAAUGAGACGCCGCCCAGAAGCCUACGGGAGGCAGCAGUAGGGAAACUUCGGCCAUGGGGGGAACCCUGACCGAGCAACGCCCCGUGAGUGAAGAAGGUUUUCGGAUCGUAAAGCUCUGUUGUUAAGGAAGCGUUACUUAACCAGAAAGGGACGGCUAACUACGUGCCAGCAGCCGCGGUAAUAC
rnacentral:rRNA from 1 species